rnacentral:lncRNA from 1 species
CGGGGCUUAACUGUGACUGCACGAAGGAAAAUGAUGGAAAACUUCUAAACUUUACUACAAAUAUCCACCAUAGCAAAAGAAGGUGGGUGCACUGCUGCUACAGCUCAGUAAUCGGAAGUAGGAGUCAAUCUUAUCUGUCCAGAACUUAACUCUCCCUGGUAGCCCUCACCUGCCCUCACGCAGCCUGAAAGCUGAGGGACACAGCAGGAAAAGAAAGUGACCCUAAGAAGCGGGGAUGAAAUGAGAUGCCAAAGAAGGGAGGAGAGUGGAAACAGGGAGGGCUGGGGCGGGACUGUUUAAUGUUCAAAAUCAGUGCCAAGCUAAAUUGGAAACAUGAGUCUGCCUACCUGGAACUUACCUCAUCCGUAUAUAAUUUGUAACCUGAGAUCCCCUCGCAGUGAAGUAAAAAUAGCAAGGCUCUCUGGCAGGUCUGUUCUCUGCACAGUGGAAGGUCAGAAUGGGGAAGGUAGGACUUGGGGAGAGCCAGAAAGCUGGGCCACAGAAUGCCCAUCAUGUGGCUUUGGCAGGGAUACCUUCUCCCCUGUCUCCUGCGAUGACACAGAAAAUACAUCCGAGGAAGUGGUUUCAGGAUUCCCCUGGGAAAAGCGGGCACUACUGAAGUACUGAGCGCCGCCAACCCCAAGUGCUUGAAUCUGAAAGAGGCAAAGGCAGACCAAGUCACAGAGCAGAUAGCUGAGCUUUUCAAGACAUGCAGCUGGCACCUAUCUCUGUGGACGAAAUGAUGUGCUAACUGCCCGUCUUGCUCUCUGUGAGUCUUUCCCUCACAGGAGAGCGUGCCAAUGCGGAUGGUUCACUUGCAUCUACUCUAGCCAUGCUUUGCUUUUGAUGAUGCAGGGAUGAAGAAAGGCUUGGUGACUCUGUGCCCCACUGCGCGGAGAAGACGGGGAGAGAAGGAAGAAGAUGGGGACAUAAGGAGAAGACGGGGAACUGGCUGAUUUGAGAUUAAUAACAUCAAAAAUGUGCUUGGAGGGGGAAGAUUUUCAUUCUUUGUGAUGUCCGUAUAUGAAAUAGUAUUAAUAGGGUGGAUGCAAUUCUGAGAAUUCCUAAGCCUGCGUUAGUCCUGUUAGAUAACUCUUGCUUCUGCUAAUCAUACUCAGAGCCCUUUGGGAGAUCUAAUUUCUCUCUCUCUCUCUCUCUCUCUCUCUCUCUCUCUCUCUCUCUCUCUCUCUCUCUCUCUCUCUCUCUCUCUCUCUCCUUUACCAGUACAUCUUAGCCUUCAUUGUUAUAACUCCCUUUGUUCACAUAAAUGGGUUUGUUGCUCAUUCCUUUUACAAACUGCAGUACUCCACUAGCUGCCAUUUGGAGAGAAGGUAUUCUUGUUCUCUCUAUCGUUGAUUAUAAAUUGAGUUUUAAUCGUUGAUUAUAAACUUUGUUAUGAAGCCUCAAGAGACAAAGCAUGCCAGCUCUCCACCUCUUUGAGAGAAAGCUGCACAGAGUUACACAGCCAAGAGGAGAGGGGAAGAGAGCCUUCCCAACCUGGCCUGUACUCCUUCCUGGCUUCACCUCAUUCGCUCCAUAAUUCCUCAAAGGCUAAAACUAUUUUUUUUAAGAUUUUAUUUAUUUUAUGUAUGUGAGUACACUGUAGCUGUCUUCAGACACACCGGAAGAGGGCAUCUGAUCCUAUUACAGAUGGUUGUGUGUCACCAUGUGGUUGCUGGGAAUUGAACUCAGGACCUCUGGAAGAGCAAUCAGUGCUCUUAACCACUGAACCAUCUCUCUAGUUUGCUAAAACUUUUUUAAAAAUUCACUCCAUUACCCUUCCUACAAAGGGGGUUGGAGGCAGGGGCUACUGUCUUGGAGUAUUUUAACAAUUCAGUGACAUGGCCGAGAUUUUCAAAAGACCUCCCAAUUCAUGCUGUCCAACAGAAAUGUAAUGCAAGCCAUGUCUGUAAUUUAGACUUGCAAGUAGCCACACUUCCAAAAGGCAGAGAAGAAGCUGGGGAAAUUAAUUAUAAUAACACAUUUUCUUUAAUCUGAUGUAUCCAAAAUAUUAUCAUUUCAAGACCUAGUCACCAAAUCUAUGUUAAUGGAAUAUUUUACAUUUAUUUUCUUUCCUACUAAGUCUCUAAAAGCCAAUGUGGAUUUUACACACUGAGACAGUGCACUUUCAUAAGAAAUACUCACUUUAUAUUUAGCUUUGUCAAGACUUGCAGUUGAAAAAAAAUAGAUUCACAUACACAAGUUGUGCCAAAAGUACUUAAAUAUUUCCUAAAAUCUGAAUCAAGUAUAAGUGUUUUAAAUUUAAAAUAAUUAAGAUGAAAUAAACAUGGAAAGUAAGAACAGCAGCAUGAAGGCCGACCAUGUGCUGGAGGAGCCAAGAGUUCUACAACUUCAUCAAAAGAAAGGCCUCGCUUUAAUCUGUUUUUCUUCUUACCUGAUGAACAGGGUGACAGCGCAGCUUGAGGAAGUUCAGACAUGUCCCCAGUCUCAUUUGCCGUUCUUCCCCUUUCCUCAUCAAGUGGGCCCUGACAACCUUUCUUUCUGAAGCUACAUAAAUUAAACAGGGUUAAGACUCUCAGUCCUUGUUCCAGCUCCAAAACAAGCCAAGACAAGAAAGGAUCCCGCAGGCACAAAGAUAUUGAAAGUAUAUUUGUGCAAAGACAAAACAGUAAAUGAUGAGAUUCCAAGCCUCUCCAACUCUCUUGCUCUUCUAUUAAUUCUCGGACUUUCUCAUCACUAUCUAAAGAAAAGUCAAGUUGAAGGAGUUAUGUAGUCUCCCCUCCCCCAGCCUGAAACCUGCUUGCUCAGGGGUGGAGCUUCCUGCUCAUUCAUUCUGCCAUGCCCACUGCUGGAACCUGCGGAGCCACACACGUGCACCUUUCUACUGGACCAGAGAUUAUUCGGCGGGAAUCGGGUCCCCUCCCCCUUCCUUCAUAACUGAGUGUCACAACAGUAAAAUUUGAGCUUUGAUCAGAGUAAC